UACGUAGGUGACAAGCGUUGUCCGGAUUUACUGGGCGUAAAGAGCGCGCAGGCGGUCGUUCAAGUCGAGUGUGAAAGCCCCCGGCUCAACUGGGGAGGGUCAUUCGAUACUGCCGUUCUUGAGGAUUGCAGAGGAGACUGGAAUUCCCGGUGUAGCGGUGAAAUGUGUAGAGAUCGGGAGGAACACCGGUGGCGAAGGCGGGUCUCUGGGCAAUUCCUGACGCUGAGGCGCGAAAGCGUGGGGAGCAAACGGG
rnacentral:rRNA from 1 species